rnacentral:lncRNA from 1 species
UUUAUUUUCUCCUGUUUCAUUUUCGAGUCACCUUAAGCGGCCUCUGUUUAUUCCCUCAUUGUGGUCGCUCUGGUAAGUGUAGUUCUAUGUGUAUCAAUUCACAAUAUGAUUUAAAUGAAGUUUAUUCACAAUAUGCACUUUUGUACAACAUAGGUGGCGGCAAGUUAGUCAGUUAAAUUUUCCCGCCUGGGCUUAUUGUUGCCUCAGGUCAGACGUCGCCUAUUUUUUCUGCCUGACAGAGUAAAUUAAUCUUUCCGGUAGGUGCUGUUCUUUAUAUAAUAUUUACCAUAAGAGUUGAAAUGUGUUUGUUCAAAAUAUGUGCUUUUGUAUGCCGUUUUAGAGUUGCCUCAGGCGUCGCCCAGUUAACGUUGGUCCGUCAUUGGUAUCGCUCCGGUGGUGGCAAGUCAGUCAUUUCAGUUUUCCUGCUUUGUCUUCGAGUUGCCUGAGAAGUGUCAGACGAGACGAGCGCGAGUUUUUUUUUCCUCGACAGUGCAAUCGCUCUGGCAGGUAAGUUAACUUAAUGUUAUAUGCAGGCUAUGAGAAUAAUUAACAGUAAGGUCUGAAUGGUAUUUGUUCACAAUUUGUGCUUCUGUACAGCUGCUUAGAUGGCUCCAAACUGGUCAGUUCAGGUUUCCUUUUUCGUCUUUUUGAGAAGUCUUUUAGUCAUUCGGUGGCUUUUUUUUUUUCCAGACAGUAGUAUCAUGACUUAGGUAAGCACUGUUUUAUAUCAUAUUAAGUAAAGGUAUUUAAUUAUUGUUAAGGAUAUAGAGUUUUCUUUUUUUGUUUAUAAUAUGUUCAUUAUGUACAGUAGUGUGGGUGCCUUUGAGUUUUGAAUAAGGUUAAGUUAUAAGUGUAUUAAUAAUUUUUUUUAAACAAAUGUAACCGUAUAAGAUAAGCUUGUGUGUUUUCGUCUCAAAGAUGUAUUUUCUUCUUUUAACUUCUUUUAAAUUUAUGUGCUUAUGUUUGCUUGGCAUGCUAUUAAUCUGUAUGUUUUAAAAAUGCAAAUAACUUAAGAGCUAUUUUAAAGCUUAAAUUCAUAGUUUUUUUUUUUUUGAUAUUCGUUUAACCAACUUGCUUGUUUUUAGAUAGUACUUUAAAGGGAUAGUUCACCCAAAAAUCAUAAUUAUGUCAUUAAUAACUCACUCUCAUGUCGUUCCAAACCAGUGAGACUUCCAUUUAAGAUAUUUUAGAUUUAGUCCGAGAGCUCUCUGUCCCUCCAUUGAAGCUGUGUGUACGGUCUACUGUCCAUGUCCAGAAAGGUAAGAAACACAUCAUCAAAGUAGUCCAUGUGACAUCAGAGGGUCAGUUAGAAUAUUUUGAAGCAUAGAAAAUACAUUUUGGUCCAAAAAUAGCAAAAACGACAACUUUAUUCAGCAUUGUCUUCUCUUCCGUGUCUGUUGUAAGAGUUCAGAACAAAGCAGUCUGUGAUAUCCGGUUCGUGAACGAAUCAUUCGAUGUAACCGGAUCUUUUUGAACCAGUUCACCAAAUCGAACUGAAUCGUUUAAAACGGUUUGUGUCUCCAAUAACUUUUUUUAAUGUGACUGACACUCCCUCUGAGUCAGAAUAAACCAAUAUCCCGGAGUAAUGCAUUUACUCAAACAGUACACUGACUGAACUGCUGUGAAGAGAGAACUGAAGAUGAACACCGAGCCGAGCCAGAUAACGAACAAAACAUUGACUUGUCGGUGUUCGGAUCACCAGUAGUUAUUUCGGACAGUUUGAUUCAAUUAACCGGUUGAAGAAAACGGUUCACCGGUUCUUUUGCACUCAAUGUAAUGACGUCAUUUGCGACGAUUGCAAGCCUUCGGUUUACCCACACUCAUAACACUAGCACAGAAUCAGUUCAGAAUCAAUCACCAAAAGAAUCAGUUCAGUUCAGACGCUCUGUGUGUCGGUCUGCUUCACGCUGAAUCACACAUGCACAGUAUCAUCAGCUCCUCGGUUCUCGAAUCGGACGCGUCUGACAGAAACAGUUGCAAAGUAACUAGCUGACUUAGUCAUAAGUUGGGCCAACUUAAAAUUUUAAGUCAACUAAACACAAAAUUAAAAGUUUACCUAAAAGUUCACUUAACUUAAUAUACUAUGUUGAUUGGACAUGCACAAAAGUUUGUACAACUAACUGACCUAUACGUUGAGCAAACUCAAAAAUCUGCUGAAGUUUGUUGCCUUAAAAUUUUAAGUUGGCCCAACUUUUGAUUUUUUACAGUGUGCUUUUGACCAUCUUUUGGCAAAAAAAAAAAAAAAAAAAAAAAAAAAAAAAAAAAAAAAAAAAAAUAUAUAUAUAUAUAUAUAUAUAUAUAUAUAUAUAUAUAUAUAUAUUUAGUAAUUAUUUUGCGUUAGCUGCUGUUUCACAAUACAUGAAUUACACUAACGAAUAACAGUAAAAUGCUGGAAAUAUUUUUUUCUUGCACUUGAGAUAUGAUUUACACCUUAACAAAGCCUCUCUCGUGCAUGCAACUUUAAUUUACACUUACAGUUCUACUGUAUCUAC